rnacentral:rRNA from 1 species
UACAGGGGGGGCAAGCGUUGUUCGGAAUUACUGGGCGUAAAGGGCUCGUAGGCGGCUAACUAAGUCAGAGGUGAAAUCCCCAGGCUCAACCUGGGAACUGCGUCUGAUACUGGAUGGCUUGAAUCCGGGAGAGGGAUGCAGAAUUCCAGGUGUAGCGGUGAAAUGCGUAGAUAUCUGAAGGAACACCAGUGGCGAAGGCGGCUUUCUGGCCUAUUCUUGACGCUGAGGCGCGAAAGCUAGGGGAGCGAACGGG